ACACCUCAACCCUCGUGGUUUGCCACGAUCGGCUUGGACUUUGGAGGUUUUGCUGGCCUGUGUGGUUAGCUCCUCUCAAAUGAAUCAGCUUACCAGUGUUUGGUGGAGCCACAGGCGUGAUAAAUAUCUACGCUUGCGGCCGUCUGCCAUGCAACCUUCAGCGAUGAAGGUUCACUGGGGGCUCACAGAUGUCUCUCCUGAGUGAAGACAGCUUUUUUAAC
rnacentral:misc_RNA from 1 species